CACCCCCAUAUAAAAUUAUGGACAUAAAUAAGAUCACAAGGGAUUUAUUGUUCUCUGAAAAAAUGUUUUUUACUCUGAUAUUAUACGCUCUCAGCUGGGAGGCGGAGCUUUAACCAGUUGUAUAGAUCUCAACAAAACAGACGAUGUUUGCAUUGUCCUCAGGGUACAAGUUCAUCUCAACAUACCAUAAUGUUUCUUCACAUCAUUAUCCUGCUCUGUGCUGUUGGGUGUGGAAGGUUUGAGAGUGUGAUUACACCAGACCAAACUGAGUUCUUCGAAGAAGAGGGUACAGAUGUAACUCUGUCCUGUAGCUAUUCAUCAGCAAUCAGUUUACAGUGGUAUCGGCAGUACCCCAGAUCUGCACCUGAAUAUCUUCUUUUAAUCCUGCAAACCUCAAGACGUGUCCAGAGCGCAGAGAAACUGGAUCCUCGAUUUUCAGCUAAAUUAAAUGAAAAGAAAGACCGUGUGUAUCUGGAGAUCUCCUCUGUUAAAGUCACAGACUCUGAUCUGUAUUACUGCGCUCUGGAGCCCACAGUCACACAACAACACAACAACACUGAACAAAAACCUGCCACACACAGACCCAGUGCAUUACUGUUUGACUUUCAACUGGUUUAACUGGUAGUUUUCACCCACAUUUCUCUGUCCUUUCUUUAAUCUCUAAAUGUAUAAAUUAAAUAAAACCAUUAUAUG